GAUGAACGCUAGCUACAGGCUUAACACAUGCAAGUCGAGGGGCAGCAUGGUCUUAGCUUGCUAAGGCCGAUGGCGACCGGCGCACGGGUGAGUAACACGUAUCCAACCUGCCGUCUACUCUUGGACAGCCUUCUGAAAGGAAGAUUAAUACAAGAUGGCAUCAUGAGUCCGCAUGUUCACAUGAUUAAAGGUAUUCCGGUAGACGAUGGGGAUGCGUUCCAUUAGAUAGUAGGCGGGGUAACGGCCCACCUAGUCUUCGAUGGAUAGGGGUUCUGAGAGGAAGGUCCCCCACAUUGGAACUAAGACACGGUCCAAACUCCUACGGGAGGCAGCAGUGAGGAAUAUUGGUCAAUGGGCGAGAGCCUGAACCAGCCAAGUAGCGUGAAGGACGACUGCCCUAUGGGUUGUAAACUUCUUUUAUAAAGGAAUAAAGUCGGGUAUGGAUACCCGUUUGCAUGUACUUUAUGAAUAAGGAUCGGCUAACUCCGUG
rnacentral:rRNA from 1 species